UAUUAUACUUUGAGCAGUGGAUCACUGGGUUCGUUGGUCGAUGAAAAACGGUGCAAAACUCGAGAGUUUAUGUGAAUUGCAGACAUAUUGAACGUUGAUAUUUUGAAC
rnacentral:rRNA from 2 species